GACGAACGCUGGCGGCGUGCUUAACACAUGCAAGUCGAACGGAAAGGCCCUGCUUUUGUGGGGUGCUCGAGUGGCGAACGGGUGAGUAACACGUGAGUAACCUGCCCUUGACUUUGGGAUAACUUCAGGAAACUGGGGCUAAUACCGGAUAGGAGCUCCUGCUGCAUGGUGGGGGUUGGAAAGUUUCGGCGGUUGGGGAUGGACUCGCGGCUUAUCAGCUUGUUGGUGGGGUAGUGGCUUACCAAGGCUUUGACGGGUAGCCGGCCUGAGAGGGUGACCGGCCACAUUGGGACUGUGAUACGGCCCAGACUCCUACGGGAGGCAGCAGUGGGGAAUAUUGCACAAUGGGCGGAACCCUGAUGCAGCAACGCCGCGUGCGGGAUGACGGCCUUCGGGUUGUAAACCGCUUUCGCCUGUGACGAAGCGUGAGUGACGGUAAUGGGUAAAGAAGCACCGGCUAACUACGUG
rnacentral:rRNA from 1 species